UAAUUGAAGAGUUUGAUCAUGGCUCAGAUUGAACGCUGGCGGCAGGCUUAACACAUGCAAGUCGAGCGGUAGCACAGGGGAGCUUGCUCCCUGGGUGACGAGCGGCGGACGGGUGAGUAAUGUCUGGGAAACUGCCUGAUGGAGGGGGAUAACUACUGGAAACGGUAGCUAAUACCGCAUAACGUCGCAAGACCAAAGAGGGGGACCUUCGGGCCUCUUGCCAUCAGAUGUGCCCAGAUGGGAUUAGCUAGUAGGUGGGGUAAUGGCUCACCUAGGCGACGAUCCCUAGCUGGUCUGAGAGGAUGACCAGCCACACUGGAACUGAGACACGGUCCAGACUCCUACGGGAGGCAGCAGUGGGGAAUAUUGCACAAUGGGCGCAAGCCUGAUGCAGCCAUGCCGCGUGUGUGAAGAAGGCCUUCGGGUUGUAAAGCACUUUCAGCGAGGAGGAAGGUGGUGAACUUAAUACGUUCAUCAAUUGACGUUACUCGCAGAAGAAGCACCGGCUAACUCCGUGCCAGC
rnacentral:rRNA from 1 species